UACGGAGGGGGCUAGCGUUGUUCGGAAUUACUGGCGUAAAGGGCGCGUAGGCGGUCGUGACAAGUCACUUGUGAAAUCUCCGGGCUUAACUCGGAACGGUCAAGUGAUACUGUCGGACUAGAGUACAGAAGGGGCAACUGGAAUUCUCGGUGUAGCGGUGAAAUGCGUAGAUAUCAAGGAGGAAUACCGGUGGCGAAAGCGACUCUCUGGACG
rnacentral:rRNA from 1 species